UACGUAGGGUGCAAGCGUUGUCCGGAAUUAUUGGGCGUAAAGAGCUCGUAGGCGGUUUGUUGCGUCGGCUGUGAAAUCCCGAGGCUCAACCUCGGGUCUGCAGUCGAUACGAGCAAACUAGAGUGUUGCAGGGGAGACUGGAAUUCCUGGUGUAGCGGUGAAAUGCGCAGAUAUCGGGAGGAACACCUGUGGCGAAGGCGACCCCCUGGUUGGAUACUGACGCUGAGACGCGAAAGCGUGGGGAGCAAACAGG
rnacentral:rRNA from 1 species